rnacentral:rRNA from 1 species
GACGAACGCUGGCGGCGUGCUUAACACAUGCAAGUCGAACGGAAAGGCCCUGCUUUUGUGGGGUGCUCGAGUGGCGAACGGGUGAGUAACACGUGAGUAACCUGCCCUUGACUUUGGGAUAACUUCAGGAAACUGGGGCUAAUACCGGAUAGGAGCUCCUGCUGCAUGGUGGGGGUUGGAAAGUUUCGGCGGUUGGGGAUGGACUCGCGGCUUAUCAGCUUGUUGGUGGUGUAGUGGCUUACCAAGGCUUUGACGGGUAGCCGGCCUGGGAGGGUGACCGGCCACAUUGGGACUGGGAUACGGCCCAGACUCCUACGGGAGGCAGCAGUGGGGAAUAUUGCACAAUGGGCGGAAGCCUGAUGCAGCAACGCCGCGUGCGGGAUGACGGCCUUCGGGUUGUAAACCGCUUUCGCCUGUGACGAAGCGUGAGUGACGGUAAUGGGUAAAGAAGCACCGGCUAACUACGUG